rnacentral:rRNA from 1 species
AGUGAACGCUGGCGGUAGGCCUAACACAUGCAAGUCGAACGGCAGCACAGUAAGAGCUUGCUCUUACGGGUGGCGAGUGGCGGGCGGGUGAGGAAUACAUCGGAAUCUACUUUUUCGUGGGGGAUAACGUAGGGAAACUUACGCUAAUACCGCAUACGACCUACGGGUGAAAGCAGGGGAUCUUCGGACCUUGCGCGAUUGAAUGAGCCGAUGUCGGAUUAGCUAGUUGGCGGGGUAAAGGCCCACCAAGGCGACGAUCCGUAGCUGGUCUGAGAGGAUGAUCAGCCACACUGGAACUGAGACACGGUCCAGACUCCUACGGGAGGCAGCAGUGGGGAAUAUUGGACAAUGGGCGCAAGCCUGAACCAGCCAUACCGCGUGGGUGAAGAAGGCCUUCGGGUUGUAAAGCCCUUUUGUUGGGAAAGAAAAGCAGCAGGUUAAUACCCCGCUGUUCUGACGGUACCCAAAGAAUAAGCACCGGCUAACUUCGUG